rnacentral:lncRNA from 1 species
CUCCCUGCUGCCCCCAUCCCAAGGAGAUCCAGCCGGCGGCUGCGCUUCGCCCCGGUCCCUCUGAAAACCACAGCCAGCAGAGUGCAGGAGCAGCUCUUGACAGAUCCUGUGUUUUUCCCUGGACCUGAUGUUUUUCUGCAUCCCUGAGGAGCGUGGGAGGCUCCUGCAGCUCCCAUGGUCCUGGCACACCUGGAAUCCACCUGCAUGGAGCACCAAGCAAAACUCAUGCAAGGAAAUUCUCCAUCGCCCACUGGAGCCUGUCGCUGCCUCCGUGCUGCCCACACCCUCACUGAUAGCAGGACCAUCUCGUGUCUCCUUUCGCAUUUUUGGCACAGGGCUGGCUCUCCUCCAGCCCUCGGGAAGCUUGCCAGCACCGCAAGAGCCGGUUUUAACCAAACAGCCUUCCCUCCCGAGCCCGAGCCAUGCAUUCUGCUGGCCAGUGAGCAAUCAACUUCCAAUUUCCAUGCACACUCCUGUUUAUAUUUCCUUCCCUAUCGGCUUUGUUUCUAAUUAAGGUUUGUUAAAUGCGAGUGAAUAUAUAGCGCGCAGAGAAAUAUAAAGCAUGUAGAUAAAUAAACACCCCACACACAGCCUCA